UUCCGGUUGAUCCUGCCGGAGACUACCGCUAUCGGAGUCCGAUUUAGCCAUGCUAGUCCACCGAGUCCUUGACUUGGGGCAUAUAGCUGAGUAGCACGUGGCUAACCUGCCCUGUGGAUGGGUAUAACCUCGCUAACGUGAGGCUAAUACCCAAUAUCAGAUGAGGAUGGAAGCAAUCUUCAUCUGUGAAACGUUCCGACGCCACAGGAUGGGGCCGCGGCUGAUUAGGUUGUUGGUGAGGUAACGGCUCACCAAGCCGAUAAUCAGUAGCAGGGGUGAGAGCCCGAGCUGUCAGUCGGCAUCUGAGACAAGAUGCCGGACCCUACGGGGUGCAGCAGGCACGAAACCUUCACAAUGCACGCAGGUGCGAUGGGGGGACUCCGAGUGCAGUCUUCCAAAACGGAAGGCCGCUUUUCUGCACUUUAAGCAGGUGCCGAAACAAGGGGUGGGCAAGACGGCUGCCAGCCGCCGCGGUAAUAGCCGCACCCCGAGUGGUAGUCAUUGUUAUUGGGCUUAAAGUGUUCGUAGCCGGACACACAAGUCUGCUGUGAAAUCCAUGCGCUUAACGUAUGGACAUGCAGCGGAUACUGUGUGUCUAGGAACCGGACGGCGUCGAGGCUAUUCCCGGGGUAGGGGCGAAAUCCUAAAAUCCUGGGAGGAGCACCUGUGGCGAAAGCGCUCGACGAGUACGGAUUCGACGGUGAGGAACGAAAGCCAGUGGAGCAAAGCGGAUUAGAUACCCGCGUAGUACUGGCUGUAAACAUUGUGCGUUUGAUGUCGGACAACCUCCGAGGUUGUCCGGUGCCGAAGUGAAAACGUUAAACGCACCGCCUGGGGAGUACGGUCGCAAGGCUGAAACUUAAAGGAAUUGACGGGGGAGCACCACAACCGGUGGAGGCUGCGGUUUAAUUAGAUCAAACGCAGAGCACUCUACCAGAGCCGACAGCAGAAUGAAGGUCAGCUUGAAGAGCUUACCUGACGCGCUGAGAGGAGCUGCAUGGCCGCCGUCAGCUCGUGCCGUGAGGUGUCCGGUUAAGUCCGGUAACGAGCGAGACCCGCACCAGAUAAGCCAGACGAAGGUGCGGGCCACGGUAGGUCAGUAUGGCCCGAAUGCUCUGGGAUACACGCGGCC
rnacentral:rRNA from 1 species